UCCAUAUUUUAGGUCGGACAUCCAUCUGCUGUGACCCGCGGAGACGCCCACAACACAGAGGCAGUUACUGAGCGCGAUGAGGAGGAACAUGAAUCGUCUGCCGAGAAAGAGGAUUCACAACAUAAGGCUUAGGUCAGUCACCAUUACAAACAGCUUCGUCACUUGACCCAGCUUUGACCUCCCGCGACCCUUACAGGGCAUUACCACGAGGGUGCCCUCAGCGCUUUGCUCACCAACGCUACAUUUGAAAACAAACAAAAAUAAACAAUAGCCGAGCUA